UUUUAUCCUAGAUCACCACUGGAUUGCUGACAGAUAGAGGACGUGGGACCGUGACUAUCACCCCUAAUCUGCAGUGGAUUUGGCUCUCGGCACUCCCAGGCUGGGAGCUGGAUACCUGCCCUGGCAGCAUGACUCAGACUGCAUGACAGGUACGGCGUGCCCAGGAUGAUGUGCCCAGGCCUCUGGCCGCCUGAGUCCAGCCCCCCACACAACCCCCUCCAAGCUCCCAGCCCCUACACCAUAAACCAUGAGCUCUGUGCCCUCUCUGAUGGUUCCACAUCUGCCACCUUCGGCAUGGAGCCUGUUGUAAGAGCCCCCAGGCUCAGCCAUGGAGACCUUGAGCAGUGGCACUGAGUCCUGUGGCUGGCAGGGAGGGAAGUGAGACAGCCAGCAGCACAAGGACAGAAAGAGGAAAGAGCAAGUCUGCAGCUCUAGAAGGGAGGGGCAGGCAGCCUGGCUCUGAGGCUCCAGGUAUGCCCCCUGUGUGGAGCUGGGGCAGCGGGGCGGGCAGACCAUUCAUGCAGCAGGCAGUGAGGCAUGUACCUACCAUGGCUGAUGCUCCUCAGGGGCCACUGAUAGUGAUUCUGAAAGACAGCAUCAAAUCACAUGGCAGGUCCCAUGCAUGGGUGGGGCAGGCCUGGGGGUGGCGGACACACGCACACGCCAGAUUGUGCACACACAUGCUGUGAGGCCCCACGGCCCGCAUGCACACUCUAACACAUGCCCACAAACAACACGCAUACGUCGCCCUCUCCGCCACCUCCCGGUGCCCAACACCCUCACCAGCCGGCACGUGCCGCAUGGAUCUGGGGCGUGCAGCCACUCGGCACACUGAAGCACAUGCGUGGGCAGAGUCACAACACAGAUGCUCACCUGCACACAGAGGCAUUUGCACCAGCUCCCUGCACACUCGUGCCUGGCGUGCUCAGAGGACCACCCAUCCUGCUCAGGGAGACAGGGCUUGCUCACUAAUGUCCGGCUGUCAUUUCUCCACCUAAGAGCCUUCCAUGGCUCCCUACUGCCUACAGCGUUGAAUCCCAACAAGUCAUACUCUUUGGACUUUGAAGGUUCUCCACCCUGUGCCCCACCCUCCCCACAGAGCUCUUCCUCAUUCUGUCUCUGUUCCCUGCUUUGGCCAGUGGCUAUCCUCAAUGUGACCCACACUACACCUCUGCCCACACUGCAGCUCUUUACCCAGUUACCCUCCAGUUCCUCACAACGUAUGCCUAUCUCAGUCAUGCCCCGGACUGCAUUGAAGCCAGGCUGCCUUGAAGAAGCUCUCCCAGACUGCCCUUUUCCCCAAGGCAGGGUCAUGAUUUGCCAAAGGUUUCGUGUGUGUGUUAGCAAGACUGGAGUCAGAGCAGGCAUCAAACUUUACAUCCCAUAUGUCACACCUCACCAUAGACCUGGGUGCCAAAUAGCCUGAAGAGUCUGAACUCACGUUGGCAGUUAGCAAAGUGCUCCUACAGCCGCAUCUGCGGUUAACAUAGCAUCCCUAUGGCCACUGUCUCCCUUGAUCCCCACAGCCAUCCUAGGAGAAAGGCAGAAUGUCAUAAUUUGCUAAAAGGGAUGCUGAGGCUCUGGGAGGGAAAGGGACUUGCCUAAAGCCCCAGGGUGAAGCAGCAUCUCUGGACUCCCAGUCCAGUGAUCUUGCCCAAUACUUUGCUGCUUGCCUAUACCCCUCUAACUUGGUCAACAGCACAUCACAGGGCAAGCCCCAAUCCCUGCUUCAUUUUUAUAUAUGGGCGCUGGUCCCACAGCCCCACUCUCCAGCCAUUUGGAAACAAAAACAGAUGCUAUUGUUCUUCCUUAGAGAACGUGGCCAGUGGAGACGGCACACUGGAAAUCAGAGUGAAUGUUCUUGAAAGAGGGUCACGGGUCAACAAGGCCCAGCCAAAGGAUGCAGUAGAACCAUUUUCCUUAGAAAUCUUUGGGAGUGAAGUAGGCUUCAGCCACUCCCAUCCCUGCCCUCGCGGCUACCACUACCCCAUUAGUUUAGACAGGGUCGGGCGGGGAGGGGUGUGGAGAAGAAAUGAGCUUGCCUGUGGCCCCCAGGCUCCCUCUGUCCUAGCUCAGGUCUGGGUGCCAUUCUUUACACUCGUGUGCUCGCUCACGCACACAUCACACACCUUGCUGGUCACACAGUCACAGACUCGCCUCUGCUCCUGUGGUCCAGUGGCCGGACACCCCCUGGGAUGGCUCAAAGGAGUCAGGACUUGGAAGUGGGGACAUCAGGGUAGCUGAAGGAAAUCCACACACCCAGAGCAUCUCGGAGUUCAGACUCUCAGACCUGAAGUAGGCGCCCCCGGGACUGGGCUAGGAGUUGGACGGAAUGGAGGAUGGAGGACAGCGAGAAGAAAGGAAGAGAAAUGCAAAGUGUGGGCAGCCGCCAAGAGUGAAAAUAGAGGGAAGUGUCAUGCAAGUGCUGGACAGAAGGCGGCAGGUGGGACGAGCCCCACAGCCCCCUCCUCAAAAACGACCACCUCCAGGACUCAGUGAUCCCUGGGGGGCAGGCUCUGCCAGCCCUCGGCCACACGUGGCUCCGGCACCCAUGGUCCCAGUGCCUUGGAUGGAGACGGCCAGUUCUGGCGGCCAGAUGUGGUGCUCUGGAAUCCAGUCCCAUUUCCUUCCUGGCCACGCCUGUCCAGCGGCCUCUUCAGCCGCAUUCAGCCCCUACUUACCUGGGGACCCCGGCUGGGGCACGAGAGCACCAGGGGGGUAGGGCCCAAAGGGAUCAGGGGAAGCCUCUGGCCUGGAGGGUAUGGGGCACGCUUCCCCAAGGGCGGACCCGGCAGGAGGAAGCCCAGGAGCUGGGUCCUGCCGCCCAGGAGCUGGGCCCUGCCACCCAGGCCGGGCUAGGGACAUGGCAGGGCCUGGGCAUCCUGACGCUGGACUUGGGCGACCUGGGAGGCACAGGGAGGGGAGAGAUGGGCGACCCCGCCCCAGCGCAGUGCCGGCCACACCCCAAGGCAGUUGCCAGAGCUUAAGCCCCGCCCCCAGCAGCGAGAACAUCCCAGCUCCAC
rnacentral:lncRNA from 1 species